rnacentral:tRNA from 1 species
GCGGGUAUAGCUCAGUGGUAGAGCACAUGCUUAGCAUGCAUGAAGUCCUGGGUACAAUCCCCAGUAUCUUCA